rnacentral:rRNA from 1 species
UACAGAGGGGGCAAGCGUUAUUCGGAAUUAUUGGGCGUAAAGGGCGCGUAGGCGGUUCUUCAAGUCUCUCGUGAAAUCCCUCGGCUUAACUGAGGACGUGCGGGAGAUACUGAAGGGCUUGAGUCCGGAAGAGGGUGGUGGAAUUCCCAGUGUAUCGGUGAAAUGCGUAGAUAUUGGGAGGAACACCGGUGGCGAAGGCGGCCACCUGGGCCGGAACUGACGCUGAGGCGCGAAAGCGUGGGGAGCAAACGGG